ensembl:processed_transcript
UUUUUUUACUUUAAAAAAUAUUAAAUUUCAAGUACUAAGUUUAAAAAUGUUUUCGGCUGAUAUUUUUCAUUUUAAAUUAUUUAUUAAAGUUGGGGUCAUUGUAUGUGGCGAUCUAUUUUUUUACAGUCUAUGCUCGCUAUCCCAAGGUUCAUUGCGAUCCCAAGGUUCACUGCGGUUUUCCACAAGCCUGUUUCUGCCUAUCACCAUGAGUGAUUCCUCAAUACUCAGAUUUAUCAUCAAGAUCUCAAUUAUAAGCUCAAGUUUUGAUGACAACUUGGCGAUCUGCAGAAAGCACCACCAUGUAAGGAAGUCCAAGACCACUCUGGAAUCAGUCAAGGGUGAAAUGGAGUGAGGCAUACAAGGAUAUGUCUGAUUUUACUCUUGGGAAGGAGGUUGAACAGUGCAAUAUUUCUUCUAUAGGAUUGCAGUGACCAGACAUGCUACUGUAACUCUCAUGGUCAUGUGCUGGAAUUAGCAGAUGUUCAACAAUUUGGCCAUCUCACUGACCUAUUGAUAUCAGAAGACCGCAACAGCUCUGCAAAGCAAGUUGCAAAACAGAAUCCAUGGAACUGGCAGUGACUGGAAACCAAUUGGAAGACUUUGGUCUGUGAUGUAGAGGAGUGGGCAGAGGCAGAAGCAAAGACAACAAAAAACAGAAGUGAUAUGGAUGUCUUCGUCAUAUGGCAUGACUCUGCUGACCCAGCAACAAAGAGGAGGGUGUUCAACAUCAUCCUGCUAGUCAGGAUUCUUCAGGAGAAGCAGUGGAUUCUUGUGGCAGAGAUGGCCAACCACUAUAAAUACCUUUCAACUCAUCCUGGUUCUUUCAAAGAACUUUCCUGCUUGUUUGCUACUGAAAUAUUCGACAUGUGGCCUAAACGAAGAGGGGUCUAUGGAUCAUUAUUCUCAAAAAGCAACAAAAUAACUGAGAAAUAAACAACAAUACGAUGGUGCAAUCUAGAGACCUGCAAGGUACCUGCAAGUUUUGGCUGGAGCAGAAAACAUACAUUUUUUAAAUAAAGCUCCAGCUGAUGAGUUUGACAUUGACUGUGGAUUUUCUUUUAUUGUAAUCCAGAAGAGGAUGACCUUAACCCUGAAUCUAAAGCAUGUAAUAAAAUCUGUAAAAAUAAAAUAAAAUUUUCAUCAUCUAUAACCAAA